rnacentral:rRNA from 1 species
CCUACGGGGGGCAGCAGUGGGGAAUAUUGCACAAUGGGCGCAAGCCUGAUGCAGCCAUGCCGCGUGUGUGAAGAAGGCCUUCGGGUUGUAAAGCACUUUCAGCGGGGAGGAAGGCGGUGAGGUUAAUAACCUCAUCGAUUGACAUUACCCGCAGAAGAAGCACCGGCUAACUCCGUGCCAGCAGCCGCGGUAAUACGGAGGGUGCAAGCGUUAAUCGGAAUUACUGGGCGUAAAGCGCACGCAGGCGGUCUGUCAAGUCGGAUGUGAAAUCCCCGGGCUCAACCUGGGAACUGCAUUCGAAACUGGCAGGCUAGAGUCUUGCAGAGGGGGGUAGAAUUCCAGGUGUAGCGGUGAAAUGCGUAGAGAUCUGGAGGAAUACCGGUGGCGAAGGCGGCCCCCUGGACAAAGACUGACGCUCAGGUGCGAAAGCGUGGGGAGCAAACAGGAUUAGAUACCCUAGUAGUC